rnacentral:rRNA from 1 species
GGGAAGAUAAUGACGGUACCGUGGGAAUAAGCCCCGGAUAAUUACGUGCCAGCAGCCGCGGUAACACGUAGGGGGCGAGCGUUGUCCGGAUUUACUGGGCGUAAAGAGCGCGUAAGCGGCCAGCCGAGUCGUGCGUGAAAGGCCCCGGCUCAACCGGGAAGGGUCGUGCGAUACUGGUUGGCUUGAGGCCGGAAGGGGGGAGUGGAAUUCCCGGUGUAGUGGUGGAAUGCGUAGAUAUCGGGAGGAACACCAGUGGCGAAGGCGGCUCCCUGGUCCGGUCCUGACGCUGAGGCGCGAAAGCGUGGGGAGCGAACUGAAUUAGAUACUCAGGUAGUCCACGCUGUGAACGAUGGGUGCUAGGUGUCGGGGGUAUCGANNNNNNNGGUGCCGCAGCUAACGCAUUAAGCACCCCGCCUGGGGAGUACGGCCGCAAGGCUAAAACUCAAAUGAAUUGACGG